UUACCAUUUAGCUAUUUUCCCCAUCGAGAAAGAGAUCGAGGAUAGGUCGGAAGCUUCUUCCUUCGAAGGACUUUCUCCUUCAUCAAAUGAAUUCUCUCCCAUGACCCCAUUCAAUCAAUGCUACCGGGUAUUCACUCGCUUAUUGAAAAUCUUGCCAUACCAUAUUUUCUAUUUAGUCGGCACUCUUGUCUGUCGAGUACUUUUAGUAGUCUUGCUCUUCCUUCCUCCAUUGCUGAGGUUAGCUCUGUAUUUUUGUCGUGUACUUUUUCUCUCUUUCUAAUUCUAAGGAAUAAGUCUUCCGGUAACAUAACAAAAAAGAAAGGAAAGCAAGGAAGAGGACUAAUCUCUGUCC
rnacentral:lncRNA from 1 species